UUAUACUGUCUCCUCUCUCCAAUCAGUGAAACUGAUCUCCCCGUGAAGAAGCGGGGAUUCAAUUAUAAGACGAGAAGACCCCAUGGAGCUUUAAACCCAAUUUGCACCCCUACCACCCCAAACAUCAACCAAACCUCAGGGACCUGUACAUUGGUUUUAGGUUGGGGGGACCACGGAGCAAAAUAAAACCUCCAUAACAAAUGGGCUAACACCCUUACCUGCGAUUUACAAAUCCAAGAAUCAUUAAAAUGAUGUUUAAUGACCCAAUAAGUUGAUCAAUGAACCAAGUUACCCUGGGGAUAACAGCGCAAUCCACUCCAAGAGCCCGUAUCGACAAGUGGGUUUACGACCUCGAUGUUGGAUCAGGGUAUCCCAGUGGUGCAGCCGCUACUAAGGGUUCGUUUGUUCAACGAUUAAAACCCUACGUGAUCUGAGUUAAAAACCG
rnacentral:rRNA from 1 species